rnacentral:rRNA from 1 species
UACGUAGGUGACUAGCGUUGUCCGGAUUUACUGGGCGUAAAGAGCGCGCAGGCGGUCGUGCAAGUCGAGUGUGAAAGCCCCCGGCUCAACUGGGGAGGGUCACUCGAUACUGCUCGACUUGAAGGCGGGAGAGGGAAGCGGAAUUCCCGGUGUAGUGGUGAAAUGCGUAGAUAUCAGGAGGAAUACCGAUGGCGAAGGCAGGUAUCUGGGCUGAAACUGACGCUCAUGCACGAAAGCGGGGGGAGCAAACGGG